rnacentral:lncRNA from 10 species
CUCAAAAUCACUUCUGAUUAUACUUAAGAUAUUCUGGGAAACCACUCAAAUAUUUAUUUAAAAAUUGCAUUGUGGAAGACAUGGUACUAGAAAAUAAUGAUAACCACAACUAACUUUAUUAUGAUACCUUACAGCCGACUCAAAGCUUUUCACAUGGUGGAGGAUAUUCACUGAUAUCCAAAUAAUGUGCAACUGUACAAUGCUGCAUGAGCCAUGAUUAUCUCCCUUAAAGAGUUUACAAUCCAACGAGAGAAGAAAGGGACAUACACAAUGUAAUAUAAUACAAGUUGGAUGAUGACAAGGGCUGUAAUAAAGGUGAUUCAGAAAGCCAGUGCUCACUGACAAUGAGUGGGUAGACGCGUGGGCCUGCAGACCUGCCUCGCUGUUCCAUUAACAGCAGAACACACUUCGAGAGGCAACUGACAAUGGAGGCAACAACAACAACAACAAAAGCAGUAUUUUUCCAAUCAUAAAAAAAGAAGUCUGUUUCUGAAAACACAGUUUGAUUUGUUUAUAUUUCAUGCAGUGUUAAAAUGCUCAGUCGGUUCUAACCUUGUUUGCAUUAAUCCUCUUUUCGGAAUUUGCACAUUUGUUUUCAAAGCAUUGGGUUGGAGCAGUUUGCUGCUACAUGGAAAUCAUAUCAGCAAUCGUACUCAGAACAUGAAAUGAACCUGCACAUAGAACCCACACAAUUUUAAUGUCUGCUAACCAACUGAUAAGCACAUAGGAAGGGCAUACAAGAAUUAGAAUAGAGAGCCAUUGAGCCAACAAAGGUUCACUUUCUAAGAAUCACCACCUUCUGAGGUUACUGGUUAGUACUCUCAACAGCCAUUGCAGCAGAGGCUAAUUCAUUCAUUCACA